rnacentral:rRNA from 1 species
AUUGAACGCUGGCGGCAGGCCUAACACAUGCAAGUCGAACGCCGUUGCGAAAGGGUGAGUAAAGUGUAGGUAACUGCCCCAUAGCGGGGGAUAACUAUUGGAAACGAUAGCUAAUACCGCAUACUGUGAGACGGACCUGAGUGGUAUUAGCUGGUUGGUGAGGGAAAGGCCCACCAAGGCGACGCUACAUAGCCGACCUGAGAGGGUGGACGGCAACACAGGGAAUGAGACAAGGCCCCGACUCCUUCGGGGAGAAGCAGUAGGGAAACUUCGGCAAAGGACGGAAGUCGGGCCGAGCAAAGCCGCGUGAGUGAAGAAGGUAUUCGGAGCGUAAAGCUCUGUUGUUAGAGAAGCGGUAACUAACCAGAAAGGAACGGCUAACUACGUGCCAGCAGCCGCGGUAAUAC